AUGUUGUGCUCCUCCUUGGAGGUGCCGCCUGGGGAGGGAUCGUGUUCGGGUGAGGUGGGUCAAAGGUUGGAGCUUUGGGCGGCUCUGGUUGUUUGGUGGCGGCGGUUCCGUUGGGAUUUGCUUGGCUGGCAUUGUCUCUGUUCCCCUCAUGGGUGGAGCCCACUGGUUGCGGCGUGUUUGUCACAAGGCUGGUAUAGUGUGGCUUCGCCACUGUCCGGUGGUAGGGGAUAG
rnacentral:rRNA from 1 species